AAUUAAGAUGAUAAAUGAGGCAUGAAAAUACUAGGAUUUGGAGUAGAGAAUUCGAGGAACUCAGGGUUACGCUCUACCGCAGACAUUAUUUUUUCAUUUAAGGUCAUCCACACCUCAAUUUCAUUGUUUCGUCCAGUCUGUUUGAAGAAAGUAGCAUUCGCCCACCCUGAAGGGCGUCCAACUUCUCCUGUAAGACCCACCCAUAUAGGUUUUCCCCAUCCAAAAUCGACAUCAUUUAAAUCAAAGUUAAGCCAACUAGAAAAUAAAAAUAUUUCUGGGUUUCUCGAGCCUAUACCCACCAGUUGUUUCAGCAACGACUCAGAUAUGCCUUGAAGCCCGUUCUCACCCUGGAAAUCCUUGAGGAGAUCAUCGUUUAUAUUAGUGAAAGAUUCUCUAGUUAAGCUCACCAAAUCAUUCAACUCUAUCUUGGUAUCAGCCAACUCACAGGCUGUCAGUGAACGCCACCAUAGGUUUCCAAUAGAGUAUCUUGAAAAGCUAGGUUUUGUUCUUUGUCUUAUAUUCACUGCAUGUAGAGAGACAGACGGCCUUGGCAGAGCGCAUAACGACCUACAAGCUUCCGUGCAGGAUUUCCAAAUAAAGGCAGUCAGUGUUUCAGUGCGAGAUGGAUUCGGCACCCGUUUGCUUUUAGCCUUAGCCCUUAGAGUGGCAAUGGCAUCGGCAUCAAAAACGAAUCUCUUGGUGACAUUUCCUUCUUUGAACAAAUAGUUUUCCGCCACCCACAAAGGAAAUUGAACUAAGAAUUUAUUUUGCGGAGGAAAUCGGGAUGACGCCUCAAAAAGAGCAGGAUUUAUUUGCUCAAGGUAAUGACCUCGUGUGUUGGCUGCCCAGCUGUCGAGGAACGCAAUCGCCGUAGCUACAUCGAUGAUCUUGUGUGAAAAGCAGAGACCGAGUGCCGUCCCACCACAGUCAAAUGUGUUAACUUGUAUGGCUACUUGCGGUGUUGCUUCUGGAUCUGAUUGAUAGCCGAAUGGUUGGCAUGGAAGAAAUUUAUUCAGCAAAUUUAGCUGAGGUUGUAUAAGAAAAUCGAACAAACUCCCCUUCACUCGGGUUUCAACAAAUGGAGCACCCUUCUCGUAGUUGUCUAUAAUAGAGUUGUUUCUCACCCUCCCAGAAAAAGGGUAAAAGGUGGAUAGUGUUUGGGACAGUGAUCUCUUUAGUUGAAUUGAGAUUUGUAAACCUUUGAAAUCUUGAUUGUUAUUUCUUGGGUAGAAGAAAACCAUCGGAACAUAAGUUGUGGGUAAAAGCUGAUCCAAAAGGGACAGCUUGAACGGUAAGAGGUGAUGGAUGGAUGGCGAAGAGGGUUUGAUGAGCUCUCUUGAAAUGAUACUGACGUCCAUAUUGAAGAAGACGACUUAAACAAAAGCAGAUAUUCUAAUGCAUAAAGAGAUGUUCUUGAUGUGGUUUCUUUCUACUGCAUGAGAGCGUCUAAAAGUUGAUUCAAUCUAUCCAUCACUUUGGACUUUGGACUUAAACCACAGGUGCUCGAUCUGCCCCGCUCAACUUGGCAUGGCCACCAGGCCAUGAAUCUUGGAUUUUGAAAUGGUUUUGUAGGUUUGGCAGCACGCCAGCAGGGAACAGCUCCUUCAUACUUGGACACCCGAAUAUCUUUUUUUUUGGAUUCAAGGAAACCCCACCUCCCGGAAAGCGCACUUUGUGGGCCCAGGUGAGCGAGUAAAACCCCGGCUGUUCCAGGCUCUUACAAGAGGUGCACGCCCUGACUUGAACUCGAGACCUGCUGUGCAGAUUUCAAACCUUUUACCAUCACGCUACGCCCCUUGAAUGGAAAUAGAGGUGGAGGAGCUCUUUGUCUGCUAAAGAGGCCACACAAGUUUUCAAACUGCUAAGACAUAGAGUCUCAAGGCUUUGGAGUGUAUCGGCGGAGAUCCUGGACAACGAAAGCAAGCACGCUAUUCCAUUACAAUCCCAAAUUACCAAGGAUUUUAGUUUUAUUGCAUGUUUCAUUGAAGAAACAGCACAUAAGCUCGUCAUGUCGUGGCAUUGCACAAUUUCCAGGGCUUGAAUGGUUUUUGGAAGUGUCACAAAAUCUGCUUCUCUGUUGAUACUACAGUUACACAACCGCACUGUAUUAUUUAACUCCGUCUUGUGUAUUCCAGAAAGAGAAGGAACCGCAGGUCCUACUAUAAAAUAGUAAGCUCUCGGUGGCUGUGUAUCUUCCCAAGACUUGACAUACUUGCUAAAGUCAAUGAGAUCACAAAAAUUGCAUUCCAAAGCUUCCAACCUCUUCAAGCAUGCUACUUCCUCUCCUUUAAGUGUCACCUGAGUUUCCGAUGACAAGAGAACUCCGAGAACUUGCAGACGGCAGAGUUUAGGUAUUAUCCCAGCAGACAACUGUUUUAGUCUAGUAUGACUGAGGUCAAGAUACCUAAGAUUGGACAACAAUUUCAUGCCUUCAGGCAAUUCUUCAAGUUGUGUGUAAACCAGGUCCAACUUCUUCAAUGCUGUAAGCUUUGCUAAUGUUGGUACAUGCCUCAGCUGUUGACACCUCCUGAGUAAUAAUGAAGUUAGGCACACCAGAUUAGAUAUGGAGCCUGGCAAACUUUUAAUACCUGUAUUAGAAAGAUCAAGAACUGCGAGUCCAUUCAAUUGUGUGAAAAAAGAACCUUCAAUCGACCGCAGCAUGUAAUUCUGAGAUAACAAUAAUGUAGAAAGAUUGGGACAUCUUGGUGAAUAGCUAGCUGGAAUUUCAGUUAA